AUGGAAGUAAGAAGCCAAGAUAAAGAAAUAGGGAUGCCAAGUUCUCUGGACUGCAAUCCACCUAAAAGAGAUUCCUCCUCUAAAUUCCCUCCUAUGAUUUCAGCUCUUGGAGAAAGAACAACGGAUCAUCAACCUGCUAUUUCUCAGACCCAUGAACAGCAUCAUCCACUUUACGAUCAGCCCAAAAUGAAUCUACACCAGCAAUCCCUCAAACCCAUAAGAGAUCUCGAUCUAAUCCCAGAUCCAGCUCCAGCUCCUGCUCCUGCCACAGGUGCAACUAACAGACCACCUGUUCCCAGUUCUAGAUCCAUGUCAAGAUCACCUCCCCCAGCGUCAGCAAUUACCACAACUGCAUCAGCACCAUCAGUUAGAUAUCGAGAGUGUUUGAAGAACCAUGCAGCCAGCACGGGAGGACUGAUUGUCGACGGAUGUGGUGAAUUUAUGCCCAGUGGGCAGGAGGGCACACUAGAAGCCAUGAAAUGCGCAGCUUGUGAAUGCCACCGGAACUUCCAUAGGAAAGAGAUUCAUGGAGAAUCACAAUGUGCAGCCAAUUGUUAUUGCAAAAACAAUAGCCAAAGAAACAAUACAGUACCUCCUCCUUAUCACCAUCUUUCUCAUUCACUUGCUUCAGCCCAGCCUCCUAUACAUCAACGUCGUACAUUCCCUCAUGGAUUUUCAUCCGCGGUUCUAACUGCUCCAGUUCUGAUGACCUUUGGUAGCGGUGGAGCUGCGGCGGAGUCAUCCAGCGAAGAUCUCGAUAUGUUCCAGCCGAAUUCGCAAGGGCAUGGCUGUAUGCAGCAACUAAAGAAGAGGUAUAGAACAAAGUUUAGCCAGGAACAGAAGGACAAGAUGAUGGAAUUUGCAGAGAGAUUGGAAUGGAAAAUCCAAAAGCAAGACGACCAAGAAGUGCAGCAAUUUUGCACUCGAGUGGGCGUGAAGAGAAGGGUUUUCAUGGUCUGGAUGCACAACAACAAACAAGCCAUGAAAAAGAAGCAAAUGUAAGAUAAAUUCAGACCCUUGAAGACACAUACUGGUUAUAUGAAUCAAAGAUUGAUAGAUCUUAAUUACUAGCUAAGAUCAGAUGUUCCUAACUUAAUAGAGUGGAUCAUAACAAAACACAAACACUGGGAUUUUCUCAACUCAAUCGAAAAAAUAUAGAGAAAGAAAGGCGAAAGAUGAAACUGCUGUUGAUCAUGAACAUAGAAGAGAUUUUCAUAAUCAUCCAAGAUGGCCCCCCUCUCUAGUGUACUAGAAAUUUUGAUUCAUUGAACCUUGCCUCAAAAUCUAUGGUCCUCACCACGAUUUAAAGCCGGAUCAAACGGGAUAACUUUAGGACACGAGUGUUUCAAGAGGCCUUUAUGCACCAGAAGGACAUUCAAAUUAUCUUCCAGUGGGUCACACGUCUUCACUGUUCUGAAAGUAAUACUUGCUGCUAGCUUAACUUAUGAUCCUCGAAGUUAUGGCAGAUGGUGACACAGAAGAGCAGAAAAUGGCUACUUCUGGAGGCUUGAUUUUCUUAACCAGGUACGCAUGGUUAUAUCAUAGUGCAAUCCAAUUAUUGAAAGACAUCCAUCCUAGUGGGAAGACAUGCACAGUUAAAAGCAAUGAGCUUUAUCCACUCCUCAAUUUAAAACCUCAUUCGCAAGAGUUAGAAAGCUUAUGUCAAAACAAACUUGGCUAUUAGAAAAAGGAAAAAGUUAAAAAAGUUUUAAGAUUUUCCAGCGAAUUAACAUCUAAUCCCAUUCACGGAUGUGAUAGAUACUCUCCACAUUGUUCGUAAACAUAAUUAUAUAAAAUGACAUAAUUACAUUGGCUUAAUUUUUAAUGAUGACUUAAUAAUAGUUAUGCAUUAACCAACAUAACUAUGCAAGUUAACAAAAAUUGACACAUAUCAUGUAAUUGGUUGUGUAAAAUGCACAACAUUUAUGUAUCUGUAACUCAUAAAUUAAAAUUAAAAUUAAUUGUACCGUUUCCUUCUA